AAGAUGGCAGCAGCGUGUCGGAGCGUGAAGGUAGAAGGUUCUUUGCCUCUGUUGCUUGCCUUCCUUUACGGGCCGGGACAGCGCGGCCGUGGAACUAGGAGAAAGAGAUCGGUUUCGAGGGAAAGGGUCAUGCUUAUGUAGGCCUGGUAUUGUGGCCGUUGGGCUCAAGAGGUGAAAGUCAGCACUCCGCGGCGCAUCUGUCUGUCUGUCUGUCUGUCUAUCUAUCUAUCUAUCAAUCAUCUAUCUAUCUAUCGUCACGGGACGGGCUGUCUGGGGAUGAGAUCCCUUCUGCCCCCGAGGUCCCAACGCUGAGGAGAAGCAGCACACCUAGUUUACCCGCAGGGGUGACCACGACCUCUCCCCUCCCCCCUUCUCCUCAGAAGCCUGGAGAACAGGCAGGCGACAGCGUGGGGAUGGUCUGGGCAAUGUAACAGCUGACCCUGACCAUGUCCCUUUUGACAGGGCCUGGUGGCGGUAAUAACCGGAGGAGCCUCGGGCCUGGGCCUGGCCACGGCGGAGCGACUUGUGGGGCAGGGAGCCUCUGCUGUGCUUCUGGACCUGCCCAACUCGGGUGGGGAGGCCCAAGCCAAGAAGUUAGGAAACAACUGCGUUUUCGCCCCAGCCGACGUAAGUGGGGUCACCUCUCCUCUCCCAGGGUGUGCAUGAGGUCACCAACACCGGCCUGGGAACCUGUGGGGGUCCCUCCCAUAAGGGUCUCCUCUAUGGGGGCGGUAGACCCAUCUCCUUGUCUCUUUUGGCCUGAGCCUUCAAGCACUGUGGGACCACCUGUGAUAAGGAUUCUCUAAAGCUGGGAUUCACAACAAUGAGGAUGGGGAUUGGACGUAACAAUCUCCUGGAGGAGUUAUGUAUGGUUUGAAAAUGCAUUUUGUGCCUUGUAAUUUUAUAUUUACAAAGUCAAAAAACUUGUUUUCAUGAAACAAACUACAGAAAGUGAAACUUGAUGAAAUCAUCUUAGCAGGUAAGGAUACAAAAAAGCUAGUUUAUCUUCCUAUCAAUAAUUCUCACAAGAGGGUUAUUUUUUAUUUUUAUUUUUGAGAUGGAGUCUCGCUCUGUUGCCCAGGCUGGAGUGCAGUGGCACAAUCUCAGCUCCUUGCAACCUCCAUCUUCUGGGUUCAAGCGAUUUUCCUGCCUCAACCUCCCAAGUAGCUGGGAUUACAGGCACCUGCCACCACGCCCAGCUAAUUUUUUUUUUUGUAUUUUUAGAAGAGAUGGGGUUUCACCAUGUUGGCCGGGCUGGUCUUGAACUCCUGAUCUCACGUGAUCCGCCCGCCUCGGCCUCCCAAAGUGCUGGGAUUACAGGUGUGAGCCACUGCACCCAGCCUCACAACAGGGUUGCAUUAGUGCUCUGAUCCACAGCAAUUAAGAAUCUUCAGGAGCAUGUGAAUUUAUCAAGAAGAGUCUCACUGUUGCCCAGGCUGCAGUGCAAUGGCACGAUCUCAGCUCACUGCAACCUCUGCCUCCCGGGUUCAAGCGAUUCUUCUGCCUCAGCCUUCCAAGUAGCUGGGAUUACAGG
rnacentral:lncRNA from 1 species